AUUGUUCUGCUCAGUUCAUUAAACACCCAACAGCUGUAAAAGUGUUCUUACUCAGCUGGGGCGCCUCUGAAUCUAGUGGGUGCUAACAACCGCGGCUCCUUUUCUCAUUAAGAAGUGAUUCUUCCGCUUUGCCAGGCGUGUCACCGUCAAUGGCUACUUUAUUACGGCAAUUACCGGACGGUCCGCUUUGCGUUGCCGCGGCAAAUCACCUCAACUCGAUGAAAUUACCGCGCCGCGCAAAGACCAAACUGCUUUCUGCCAUUUUAGCAAUAACUACAGCGUUAUUGAACGGUCUCUCCGACUCGCCGUUCUGGCUGAUAAGUGGGGCACAGAGGCGUUUGGAGUGCUGCACAGCGAUAUUCGGCACAGCACAGCAGUAUUUGGUGUGAGGUGUUUUUCCAGGUCCGAAAAUCUGGACUGGAAAUUGAAGUACUGGGAUUGAUGCAGUAGACCAGAGCACCAGCUGCUCAAUAUCAUUUUGCCAUGCCUGAACCUAGCUCUAUCACACACAUGCAUAGUUACACAGCCUUAUGCAUGGGCAAUAAAAUGUUGACUACUCCCAAAAAAAUUAUCAACAACUGGGAAAUUGCCAGCCCAUUCGCGAGUGCUGCAAUGUGAUCAUUGCAAGUUAAAUGAACUUCAUUUGGUAUCAAGCAUUUGAGAGUUUCAUUCAACGUGUACCUUACAUUAUCCGAGACAAAUACAGUUACGUUACUGAAAUCAACCCCAAAGACAGGCAUUUUUUGAUGGUAUCCACAACUGAGCAGUAAUUUACAACAUCAUGAUUUGCAGUGUCAACCUUAAAUUGGAUGCAAAUUUUCCCUGCAAGCAAAUGUGAAAAAUAUACCUCGGCCUUUCUUUGUGUCUGAUAUUCCAUCGAUUUCACAUUCAUUCCUCUAUCUGGUGUAUUAUCUAAUCGAAUUGCUUUUAUGAAAGUCACAAUUUGUCACUAAUUGUAUAAUCCAACGCCUACAGUGCCCCAUGAGGAUUUUGAUUGUAAUACGAGAUAAACUUGUGUCCCUAGUUAUAGGCUGUCAUAGCAGAGCAGAAUAUCUGGCGUUUGUGAUUUAGAAUCAUGAAGUAUACAGAUUAAAUCUGAUAAUUAAGUCUGAUAAUCUCUGUUAUAUUGCAAAAAUAAAACUUAUCAGUAUCUACAUGUAAUUCUUCUUAGUUAAUGUUUAA